GAUGAACGCUGGCGGCGUGCCUAAUACAUGCAAGUCGAGCGAACAGACGAGGAGCUUGCUCCUCCGACGUUAGCGGCGGACGGGUGAGUAACACGUGGAUAACCUACCUAUAAGACUGGGAUAACUUCGGGAAACCGGAGCUAAUACCGGAUAAUAUAUUGAACCGCAUGGUUCAAUAGUGAAAGACGGUUUUGCUGUCACUUAUAGAUGGAUCCGCGCCGCAUUAGCUAGUUGGUAAGGUAACGGCUUACCAAGGCGACGAUGCGUAGCCGACCUGAGAGGGUGAUCGGCCACACUGGAACUGAGACACGGUCCAGACUCCUACGGGAGGCAGCAGUAGGGAAUCUUCCGCAAUGGGCGAAAGCUUGACGGAGCAACGCCGCGUGAGUGAUGAAGGUCUUCGGAUCGUAAAACUCUGUUAUUAGGGAAGAACAAAUGUGUAAGUAACUAUGCACGUCUUGACGGUACCUAAUCAGAAAGCCACGGCUAACUACGUG
rnacentral:rRNA from 1 species